rnacentral:lncRNA from 1 species
CCACGCUGCCCUGUGUGAGCAUUAAGAAUGCAUCGCAGGGCUUUGAGACCAACAUGCGGGAUUUCGAUGGUGCCUUAGAAAGAGGAGCUGGUUACCUUCUAGGCAUCACUCCCUUCGAGGUCUGUGUGCAAACAGCUGGUCUCCGCCUGGCCGGGCCAGGGUGUUUGGGGGCUCUCUGCGG